UAACUAAAGUAUUGGAUCAGAGGGCAUUUGGCUACCUUAAGAGAGUCAUAGUUACUCCCGCCAUUUACCCGCGCUUCAUUGAAUUUCUUCACUUUGACAUUCAGGGCACUGGGCAGAAAUCACAUCGCGUCACCACCCGCCGUGGGCCUUCACGAUGCUUUGUUUUAAUUAAACAGUCAGAUUCCCCUGGUCCACACCAAUUCUAAGUCAGCUGCUAGGCACCAGCCGAGGCGACCCGCCACCGCAGAGGGCGUCGGGGGAGGUCCUGGCAGGCACCGUAGCUGGGGAGAUCCGCAAGAAGGGCCCGGUGUGCGUGCAGAGUCGCCGCUGCCGGCCGCCGUACCCAUCCCCCAGACUGUCUUUGAUCAUCCUGGAGCUGAUCAG